GUUCUUGUGGCGCAGUAGGUAACGCUUUUGCCUAAUAAGCAGUAGGUCACAGGUUCGAGUUCGGUUGAGCGCA
rnacentral:tRNA from 1 species